UGUUGUAACAUCCUGCCUUAUCCCUGCCAGAGAGCUCCCAUGCUAUCCUGCCAGGGCCAUAAAGAGUAUGUGGCCACCUGAAUCCAGCCAGACAACAGUGGUUGAAGACCUAUUGUGUGUGAGGGACCAUUGUGGGUGCUGGAAAUACAGAUGUAAUCAACAGUCAGCCCAGCUAGCUCUUGAGGGUGAAAUUGAGGCCUGGAGGAGGAAAGUAAUUUGCCCAAGGUGAGAGGGCAGAAGAGAGCCUGCAUUCACUCCCAGGGAACCACAAUUCCCCUCCAUCACUAUCUCUCCAUCUACACGCUGCCCGUCCAGUGAGAAGUACUCCUCCUUCAGGGAGCCUCCCUGACCCUACAGCAGAACCUACAGUUUGUAUGUUGUUAUGGUCACCCAUAGAGGCAGAUGGACCCCAUCCAACAUUUGGUUCAAGGUCACAACUGAUGAUGUCAAACACACACCAAAAGGGUGGGUCCCUUCUCCACAGGGAAGGGUUGGAGUGAUAAAGCCACUGAAAGAUCACUUGAGGCUACGGAUGAUAAUGUCACUAACAUCAGAGGAUUUGGACCUUCGACAUGAACUUGGGAUUUCUCUUUCUGCAUCUUUCCAGCCCAGAGACGCUUCCAGUCCCCACAUCUCCCUCCAUCCCCAUUCCAUCUCCCCCAGAUCUGUCUGACACUCCCCCACAUUCCUUAGCUCUGGCCCUCCCCCUACCAGGCGGCCCUGCUCCCGCUCCCACAUUCCCUCUGGACACUCCCCUGGAGUGGAAAAACCACCCUCAUCCUUUUCCUGCUCCGAGCCCCAGGAUCGGACAUGCUGGUCAUUCCUGUUUGGGAUGGCCAAAGAGAUAACGCCUGGCAUGGAACCCAUCUGUCGUCACAGGACUCUCAAAGCUGUUUUAGGUGAGACCCCUGCCCACACUCAUGUCCACUCUGGCCCUUGAACUCCUGGCCCUGGAUGCUUCCCUUUCUCCAAGAACGAGAUGGGGGACCCAGCAGCCAGCUGGACGGAGAGCAAGGUAACUGUUCCACUUCCAUCCAAGUCAGCUUCCUGUUCCUUGCCCGACAUCUCCCAACCCCUGGAGGCUCUGGGCCACAGGGCAGACCACCGAGAGAGGUUGGGCAGCUCUGAGAGUCAUGGCUCAGGAACAAACACUGCCCUAAGGACAGACAGGGACAAGUGUCCUCUCUCCAAAUACUGCAGAGAACGUUGCUGUUACAGCUGCUUUUGUUCAGGCAUGUCUGUUUGCCUGACCAACAUCUGCCUGGAGUUUGUCUCUUUAAAGACACAGCUGUGGCCUGUGACCUCCAGUCCAAGCUCUGCCUCCCAUGAGCUGUGUGACCUUGGACAUCCAGGUUCUUUCUUAAGUCAAAUGAGAAGUCAAAUGAGGCCAGGAGAAUGAAAUGAGUCUGCACUUGAAAGGAUUCAUAAGCUGUCAAGUUCAGCUCAAGUCCCUUCCUCUGAAU